AUCUCUGCCUCUCGAAUAGAGUGAUCACGAGGUCCAUACUGGUGAAUGGCUGGCUACAAACUAGUCGGUAUCAUGUAUGUGGAUGGUUGGCAUAAUUAGCGAACAUGGUGUUGUAUGACUUCGCAGUGAUCAGAGGUUCUCCUGAUUGUUGUGUUCUGCUGGUUGAUCGCUCAUACCAGUAACAAUAUCAAGGCUCAGAUCAGCAGUCUGGAGGUAUCGCUUCAUCAUAUCAUAUAUAGCUUGGAAGGACAAGAUAUUCGCAAGACUUCCUGCCUUUCGUCAUCAGAAGGUAAAAUGGAAAUAACCCCUGAAAUUGUAGUUGGCUUUGAUGAUGAGGCAAAAGCAUUAAUCAAUCGACUCAUAAGAGGAUCCCAGUUGGAAAUUAUUCCCAUCGUGGGAAUGGCUGGACUUGGUAAGACAACUUUGGCUAAAAAAGUUUACAAUGCUCUUUCUAGUCAGCGCCAAUUUCACAUCCAACUUUGGUGUACUGUUUCUCAAGCAUAUAGCGUGAAAAAUUUGUUACUUCAACUUUUGUGCUCUGAUGGAGAACACUCUAGAAAAAAUGAAGAGCUCGGAAUUCUAGAUGAAGACGAAUUGCUUGAUAAGCUCCGUAAAAAGUUGCUGGGAAAUAAAUAUCUCGUUGUUUUUGAUGAUGUCUGGGAUGACAGGGUAUGGAAUGACUUGAGACUUUCAUUCCAAGGUGCCACGAAAGGAAGUAAAAUCCUCUUCACGAGUCGAAAUUCUAAUGUGGCUUCACAGAUUGAAUAUGGUGGGGAACCUCACAAUCUUCGCCUACUCACUGAUACACUGAGUUGGGAGUUACUGCAGAAGAAGGUGUUUGGAGAAAAGGAAUGUCCUGAAGGACUGCUUAAAAUUGGGAAGCAAAUUGCCAAAAAUUGCAAGGGAUUACCUUUUUCAGUUGUUAUCAUUUCUGGAAUUCUUGCAACUAAAGAAUAUGACCGUUGGGAUGAAGUGGCUGUUUAUGACACAGAUGAGUGCACGAAUAUAUUAGAGCUGAGUUACACGCAUCUACCACCAUAUUUGAAGCCGUGUCUUCUUUAUUUUGGAGCAUUUCGAGAAGACCAAGAAAUUCAAUCCAAGAAACUAAUGCAGUUAUGGAUUGCCGAAGGUUUUGUGCAAUGUACAGAUGCAAAAUGAUUGGAGGAUUUAGCAGAAGAAUACAUGAUGGACCUAAUUGGCAGAAAUUUAGUUAUGGUGGCCAAACAUAGAUCCAUAGGUGGAGUCAGAGCUUGCCACAUUCAUGAUUUGUUACAUAAGUAUUGUAUGGUCAAAGCCAAAGAAGAAAAUUUUCUACAAGUGCUGCAUGGGUAUGAUGAGCUUUCUACUUUCAAUGUGCCCCCAGACCUCUCCAGAUUGUCCGUUUGGUCUAAGGUUGAGCAUUUUAAGGAGUCGAGGCUAUUUUGUCCACAAUUAUCCACUCUGCUGUUUAUUAAUCUGAUUAGAAAUGACUCUGAGUCAUUCUUGGCUGAUGCCUCCUUUGUCUUCCAAAUUUACAAAGGUCUUAGAGUCUUGGAUAUAGAGCAAAUUGUUCUGCGGUACAAGGUUUUUCCAAGCGAGGUAGUAUCGCUUGUUGGGCUGAGGUACUUGGCUAUGCAAGGUGAGAUGAGGGUCAUCCCGCCCUCUAUAGCCAAACUCUCAAAUUUAGAAACUUUUCGCAUGAUAUCUGAUUACGGUAUUGUUUCAUUGCCAAGUACCUUGUGGAGCAUGACCAAGUUGAGGCAUCUACAUAUUGAGGGCUAUGAUGUCGUAUGGUCUUUGCCAAGAGAAAAUCUUGAGAACAAUUCUGGCUUGCUUAAUUUGGACACAUUUUCCACCUUAAGAGUUUCUUUGGACCAAAGAGUGGAAAACAUACUGAAAAAUAUUCCAAAUGUGCGCCAGCUAAAAAUCAAACUCUCGAAGGCAAAGAAAUCUACGACUAUAGGCUACUGCAACAUGAGUGGACUAGAAAGUCUAGAAUCACUCGAAGUGUGGGCAACGUCACUGCCACCGGAUCGCGUUGAGUUCUCUUUCCCAUCGACUUUAAAAAAGCUGGUCCUCAUAGGAUUGAACCUACCCUGGAGUAAAAUUUCAUUGAUUGAGGAACUGCCCAAUCUUGAGGUCCUGAAAUUACUCUACGACUCCUUCAAGGGUGAAAGAUGGGUCCUGACAGAAGGAGGGUUCCGCAAACUCAGGUUCUUGGCUUUGGAAAAUUUGGAUGUUGUCGAGUGGACAGACACAGAUCCUGAUGAUCAUUUCCCCUGUCUUCAGAAGUUGCUGAUGUCAGGACUUUCUAAAUUGGAACUGAUGCCAUCUUGUUUAGAGCAGAUUUCAGCUCUUGAAGUGAUUGAAUUGCGAAGUUGUAAGGCCUCUGUUAAGGAUUUGGUACAGAAAAUUGAGGAGGAGCAAAAGGACUGUGGAAAUGAAGAUCUGAGGAUCAUCCCCUAGCCAGUGCACAGAAUCUUAUGGGGCCAGCUUCCGCAUCAGAUGUUGUGAGAUGGGAGAAAAUGAGGCGUAAUAUGUUGCCUUGGCUGCUUUUGGAGAAAAUACGGAUUGUCUUUUACUCUGCAACUUUCUUUCUAUCAGCAUUACAGUGCUGAGCAUUGGAUUAGUGUUCUCAAAGUAAGUUCCCCAGAUUCAAAGCUUUCUGCGGCUACUUCAGCAAUCAGUCAGUUGUUGCUAUGAUUUUUGGUGGAGUUGCUCAUCUGUGUGGCUUUCAGCACUUGUUAGGUGGUCGAUGGUGUUCGUCAGUCUAGGUAUGUUUGGUGGAGUUGCUUGUUAGUGUAAUCUCGGACGGGCGAUGGGCAUGCCGAGAACCGCACUGGUGUCAAGAUUUCCAGCACAAGCAAAGCAAGUACUACUUAUUUCCUCUUGACAAGGAAGAGUAAUUCGGUUGAAAGACGCAAAAAUUGUUUGGGUAACAUUUGCUGCUGAAGUUUGUGUGAUUUUUGUGUCUUUUCUUUUCUUCUGUUGUGUGAAUUUGCCUAGCAGGUGGAGUUAUGAACGUGACUGUGUGUGUGAAUGACAUAUUUGGAAGACCUGUACUUCAUUGU